GUUUCGAAUUAUUUAUAUCAAAUUUGCAGAUAUAUGUUUGUAAAUACGUGCAAUCAAAUGAUAUGGAGGUAUUAUAAGAUUUAGAUAAUGCAAUGGCGACUACAGAUACAUUUGUGUGACUUAAAUGGUUGAUUUUCAAAGACUCCGAGAGAAAACGUUAUGUAACAUGUGUUACCGUUAAAAUCAACCAAAAUUAAUUAAUA
rnacentral:lncRNA from 1 species